UUACUUACAUUAAGUCGGUGU
ensembl:piRNA 21ur-701 ncRNA